UAUAUAGCGACACACAAUGGAGUCUAGUGUAGGACGUGUAAUAUCUGUUCCUCAGCUCAAAUGCAUCAUAAUGAACAGUAAAACGAAAGGAAAUAACAAAAAAAUAUUUUUUAUGAUAAACUUUGACAAUUUUUUGUAUUAUUGCACAAUUUCAACACGAAAUGACGAUUCGUGGAAGUCGUGGCAAAAGAACCAAUACUCAAAAAAUGCUAGUUUUGAAAACAUUUUGGAGUGCUGAUUUUCUUUUACGAAUUCCACGAAUGUUAUUUCGUGCUUACAUUUUGCAAGCAUACGAAACAAUUUCCAAAGCUUACCAUUAAAAUAUUCAUAUUUUUUGAAAAAAUGCUUUGGUUUUACUGUUCAUCACAGUGCAUUUGAGCUCAUGAUGAGAAUAAGACUUCCACUCUAGUGUAUUUCUUUUCUUUUUGAGAAAAACAGUGCAAUGUAUUUUUCUUUUAAGCACCUCUAAAUUCAUUAACCAAAGUCUAAGAGCAUCUACAGCCGGACAUAACAAAUAUGACCCCCUAAAUGUCCGUAAACGAAUGCGGUCAGUGACCGAACAUGUUCCUAUUUGUCGGUCCAUACAGCCACACUCCUCAUUUUAUUCCUCAUAUGUCUGUUAUUCGCACGUGAUUGGUGCAGUGGAAGAGAGAGAAAAAAAAGAAUUAAUAAACAAAAGAAAAGGUGGUGUCGUAUGGGGUCGCGUCCUAUGUGGCGGACACAACGGGCGCGUCCGCGAGCCCUCAUAUACUCCUCAUAUUUGAGAUGGAUAUGAGGGUUCGCGGACAGUCCGAACGUAUAGGGAUGAUAUGACGAGUCGAGUUGGAUCACUUUUUUCCUUCUCUCCCCUAUCCGAUCAUUGACCAGGCGCGUCCGUGGACGUAUAAGGGGUUAUUUAAGGGGUCCGGAUGUAGAUGCUCUAAUACUGCAAAGCACGCCUAAAAAUGUAAAAUGAAAUACAUCUAAACCAUUGAGGAAUGUUUGGUCUUCUACCUUUGGAACGAGUUGAUGCCGCUGACGUUCUACUUUAGGAGGAGUGCUAAGAGGGUCUCUAGCAGACCAUGUAUAAUGUCCCGAUCUAUAAAAUAAUGAUCAAAAUACGGGUUCGCGUGAAAAAAGUUGCCCGAUCAAACACCGCAAACGUGUUAGACUCGUAAAUAUUUUUGCGGGGCACGGAAAAAUUCCCAUCCCAAACCAUGAAAAACAGAUUCUCCCCCUCGCCCCAUCGGUGUCAUGUAUAUAGAGAGAGUGGUUGUCGGGUGGGACAUUUCAGC
rnacentral:lncRNA from 1 species